rnacentral:rRNA from 1 species
CCUACGGGUGGCAGCAGUGGGGAAUAUUGCACAAUGGAGGCAACCCUGAUGCAGCGACGCCGCGUGAGUGAAGAAGUAUUUCGGUACGUAAAGCUCUAUCCGCAGGGAAGAAAAUAACGAUACCUGACUAAGAAGCCCCGGCUAACUACGUGCCAGCAGCCGCGGUAAUACGUAGGGGGCAAGCGUUAUCCGGAGUUACUGGGUGUAAAGGGAGCGUAGACGGCAGCGCAAGUCUGGAGUGAAAUCCCAUGGCUUAACCAUGGAACUGCUUUGGAAACUGUGCAGCUAGAGUGCAGGAGAGGUAAGCGGAAUUCCUAGUGUAGCGGUGAAAUGCGUAGAUAUUAGGAGGAACACCAGUGGCGAAGGCGGAUUACUGGACUGUAACUGACGUUGAGGCUCGAAAGCGUGGGGAGCAAACAGGAUUAGAUACCCGGGUAGUC